GUUGCUCAGAACGUGGAGGCGCUAACAUGAAAAAAACGUAGCCGUACCUUAUAACAGUUUAAAUUAAAAUCGAAAAUUGUUAAGCGAGUUUUCCGAUUCGUGCAGCAAAACAAAACGAUCGUUGAGCCUGAUUUCUUACAAGUUCGUGCUAAAAUGUGAUAGUUCUUUCAACUUGCUGAAGAUGCUUAGAGCACACAACGAUUUCUCUUCGACGCCUUCACACACAACGAAGCAAACAGAAUCGAGUUAUAUUACUACAAAUAAUUAUAUAAGCAUAUAAAGUCAUCUAAACGACAGAAUAUUUGACUCCAUUGUGACCAGCAACAGCAGCGAUUUCUAUACAACCAUUACGAUAAUUGGGCGCCUCUUGGUUGAAGGCAAUAAAAUUUGCACGUUUUAUGCACAAAUUCCCUAUAAUAAGCAAAACACGCCCACAUAAAUACGUAUGUAUGUGCAUAUGUAAACAGUGAGUAAAUGAAGGUGAAACAUAAAUAAUAAAACAAAUUGUAAAAAAAUAAAUUAAAUAAAAAAGUAAAUUAAAAAAAAAACCGUUAAUCAGUGAAACUAUUCGCGAAAAAACUGUGAUACAUAAUUUUUGAACAAUAACAACAUUGUGCGAGACUGUGUAAAAAAUAACAAUGUGUGAUAUGCCGACGAUUCUAUACACAUACUUACAAUAAAAGAAGAAUAUGCUAAAUAUAUAGAAAAAACGUGCAUUCCACUAGUUUCAACACAAACACUAUGACGGCUAUGGACAAAACAACGGAAGUUAAAAACGGAACUGUUAAUAACCAGCCGUAUUUUAUACAAAAUGGCAACAGGUCUUCAGAUAUUGCCGGUGAACCUCGGGAGAUUAGUACUUUUCGCAGAGCCUUACCACAAUUUUUAGCUGUAAGCGCUAAGAAUAUAUUACUUUUUGUAUAUGGUAUGACGCUUGGUUUUCCCACCAUUGUGAUACCAGCCAUACAGGGUGGUGAUGGACGUGAACCCAGUGAUAUAGUGUUAAACAGAGAUGAGAUAUCUUGGUUCAGUUCAAUAAAUUUAAUAUGCGUGCCCUUGGGUUGCCUUUUUUCGGGUGUUCUCUCUCAACCGAUUGGAAAGCGGCGCGCGAUGCAGCUGGUUAAUAUACCGAUUUUGGCUUCAUGGCUACUCUUUCAUUUUUCGACGCGCACAGAGCAUUUGUAUGCGGCGCUCUGUUUAAGCGGUAUGGGUGGCGGUCUUAUGGAAGCGCCGGUAUUGACUUAUGUUGCCGAAAUCACUGAGCCCAAAUAUCGUGGUAUACUCUCGGCGCUCGGUUCGACAUGCGUCAUCACCGGCGUCUUCAUACAAUUCAUUAUGGGCUCUUUUAUGGAUUGGCGCACAAUAGCUGCAUUGAGUUCAGCAUUUCCGAUUAUUUGUAUAAUAGCGCUAUGCUUUGUACCUGAAAGUCCGACGUGGUUGAUACGUGAACAUCGUUUUCGUGAGGCUGUAAAAUCAUUGCAAUGGCUACGCGGUUGGGUGCCCGAAUAUAUGAUCGAAGCUGAGUUUAAUCGACUCUAUGAGGAAUUGAUUACACAACCGGCUUUAGAAGAAGCCGUCGAAAAUCAUGGUGAAAAGCCGUCCAAGUGGACCAAUCGCUUUAGAAUGUUUCGCAAACGUUCCUUUCUGGUACCGUUUAUAUUGGUCACAUUUACAUUCUUUACCGGACAUUUUUCUGGCAAGACUCCGCUGCAGACGUACGCGGUGCAGAUAUUCCACACACUGAAAGCACCAAUCAAUAAAUAUCACGCUACUAUUUUAUUGGGAGUUGCCGAGAUGAUCGCAACAAUAUUAUGUGUCUUCCUCAUCCACUUCACCGGCAAGCGUCCAUUGGUUAUGAUAUCUACCAUCGGUGUUGGGGUUUGUAUGUUUGGUACCGCUACCUACGCACACUAUGUCAAGGUGGUACCUGGUUUUGCCGUAAACAAUGUAGUCAUAAAUGCUUCUAAUAUAGUCCCAAGCGAGAAUUUAAUAACUCAAGCCAAUAUUAGUAAAAUUUUUGAAGACGAGAUAUCAGUUUUGCAGCCCGAUAGUUUGAUGCUUGACAAAUUGUUGAAUACAACAACAUUAUACUCAUUCUUAGAUGAUGGCGGCAUAGAGACGACAACACUCGUAGCCAUUAAUGGUAGCGAGAAUGCAUUGAAUCGCACUAAACGGGAAGAGCAAGAGCUUUCCCUUAAUGAUUAUAAUGAUCCUUUGACUUUUAUACAAUUACCUGGCUUAGAUUAUCAAGAUGCAAAUAAUGGAAGCGAUAAUGUGACAUCAUUUUUAAACCUUUUUGACUCUGAGGAGGAAGCAGAAACCACAACAGUGUCAAAAAACUUAGAGGAAGAAUUGACUACAACUUUGGCGUCAAUUAUUCUUGACAAGCGCGUUGCAGGCUCACCAUCUACAGUAGAAAUGUCCAAGGAGGUGUUGUUACCAGUACCAACACAAACAACCAACAACUUGGUUUGGCUUCCAUUAAUUUUAUUAUUAGGCAGCGCUUUUUUCGCACAUAUCGGUAUACGUAUGAUACCUUGGAUACUUAUCGGUGAGGUAUUUCCGGCUCAAGUACGCAGCACUGCUUCAGGCCUUGUCAGUGGUUUAGGUUAUAUUUUCGGAUUUUUGGCUAAUAAACUUUUUCUACAAAUGCUGUCUGCGUUUACUUUGCCGGGCACAUUCUGGCUCUAUUCGGCAGUGGCCUUGUUUGGCGCAUUAGUGUUGUAUUUUACACUACCAGAAACCGAGGGACGCACCUUACACGAAAUUGAGGCGCAUUUCUCUAAAAAAUCGAAAACGAAUUUGUUGAAAAAGUCAUGCCGUCAAGAUUUGAAUAAGACAGCCAUACAAUUGGAUAAUCUUCAAAACUUACAAAUCCCUAUAAGCGCGCAAGCUGAAGCGAAGAUAAUUCAGUUACAACAAAGUGAUUUUGUGCCUCAACGUUUGCAUGUUGCAGGCGAGAUCAAUCCUGCAUUUGAAGAAAACAAUACAACGCACUUAUAACGGUUGGAAAAUAGUUAUGUACAUAUACAAUAGGAUUAAAUUUUUACAUAUGUAUGCAUGUUCUGUCUACUUGCAAUUUUUCAACUGCAUUACUUUGUGGAUUUAAAAAGUAUUAUUAUUUGUAUAAUUAUGUAAAUUUGUAGAUACCAUAAUCAGUAUGUUGUAUAUAACUACAUAUUAACAUGUACAUAUGUAAGAACGUACAUGAAUGCACAAGCCUUUUAUCUGAUGAAAGUUUUGAGAAAAGCUAUAAUAAAUGUAAUUACAAAUAUUAUUGGUUGUUUAUUUGAAAUAACGUCUAUAACUAUGUGGUGGUGAAUGUAUCUCGGAAAAUUAAGUGCACAACUAAUAUCUGUUCAAUGAAAUCCUGGCAGCGUAGGAUUUUAAAAUUACAGUAUAUAAUAAAUAAAACUUCAGUUAUUUCCUCUAUGGAAUGAAAUGUCAAAUACAAAAACGGAACUGGAAGUAAAAUAAGUAUAAACGCACACUCGUACCCCUAAAACUAUAUAAUUACAUAACCUUCACUUUAUUUAUAGAUACAUACACAACAUUAAUUUUGUUGUCUGAAAUUUUUCAUUUUAAUAACAUUUUUAGAAUCCCAUUUUUAUUUUAUGUAAGCAAUCCGAAAUUAUUUAGCGUAUUACUAACCUUACUAGAUAUACGCCAUUUAUUAUUUGUGCAAUAUAAAAUUAUUUUAUAUUAUAUUCAGAAGAAGUCCGGCAACAUGAGAUUGCCCACAGCUGAUUACAUUUAUGUAAAUAUUAGUCGGUACAUAAAAAUGUCGCUAACGCAAAAAUUAAAUGUUCUAAUUAAAAAAAAAUCUAUCAAAUAUGGUGUGCCAUUUUUAAUUUUAAUGGUGGGAGGCUCUUUUGGGCUAGAGCAAUUCACCCGUCUCAGGUAUCAGUUCUCUCGUAAGCAGCCGGUAAGUCCAGAAGAAAUGGAGAAAUAUGGUGUAACAAUGAAAAAACCAGAUGAAGUGACACUGGACAAAGAAUAUGAAAGAAUAAAAAACUUGAAUAUUGACGAAUGGGAGAACAAGCGCGGCCCUAGACCAUGGGAGGAGACACAAUAGUCGGUGAAAAAAAUUUGGUUAGAAAAGUGUGAAACAUUUACUAUUUAUGUAUCUACCAUUCAUAGAUUUUAAGUCAUUUGUUUUAUUGUUAUACUGAGUUU